rnacentral:rRNA from 1 species
CGGAGGAUGCAAGCGUUAUCCGGAUUUAUUGGGUUUAAAGGGUGCGCAGGUUGUUUGAUAAGUCAGUGGUGAAAGUCUGUCGCUUAACGGUAGGAUUGCCAUUGAUACUGUUGGACUUGAAUAUGGAUGAGGUAGGCGGAAUGUGUAGUGUAGCGGUGAAAUGCAUAGAUAUUACACAGAACACCGAUUGCGAAGGCAGCUUACUAAUCCAUCAUUGACGCUGAGGCACGAAAGCGUGGGGAUCAAA